UCACUACCAAGAACACCAUACAAAAAAAAAGGAAGAAAGAAAAAAAAGAAAAGCAGUCAUGAAACCUAAAUGAAGAAGUAGCAGAAAAUGAGAAAUGAACUCAAAGGACUCACAGCUAAUUCUCAGUUGAUGAUUGCAGGCAGCGCUGGGAUGUGACGACUGGGAUCAGAGGAACUCCAAAUGUCUCGGGGACUAUUUUAUUACAUGCAGAGAGGCACACAUGCAGGCUGAAAGCAAAUCUGCCAACAUGUAACAACUCUCAAUUCUGGGAGCCAGGGCUGAGAACUAUGGGAAUGGUAGAGUCAGCAGUGCUCCAAGACUGGGAAAGCCCUUUUUAGCAGACCUUGGUUCUAGAACAAGGUAUGCUUCUCCCCACCCAGAACCGGGGUGACGAGCGAGGUGGUGGACCCUGAACCCAAGAAAUGAGAAAGGACACUCAUCAGAAGCUGACUGUGUACUUUGCCCAUCACAAGGCAGCUACUGAAGCAGAUUUAAUGACGUACAGUAACAUUACCUGCCUCAUGAUGCUGUGUGAAGAUGAAAAGGGAUAAUGCAAGGAAAGAAGUUGACAGAGUGUCUGGGGGAAAGCAGAUAAGAAUGACUUCCAGAGCAUGGGACAGGAAGCAAAUGGUACUGUUACUCUUAGACACAAGUGUUGGAAACAAGGUCCGGGGAAGAUUUUACACUCAAAGGGAUUACAGAAAAAAAUUCAGGCAGAACAAGAAAUGAGCCUGGACCUCACCUUGAAUGACAUAUGGAAAUGACUGAACAGAUUCUCUUCAGGGAGGGAAAAUAAUUAUUAAAGCCUGCAGAGGCAGAUACAGAGCUACGCAAAUGGAACUGAGCAGCAAGUAUAAUAUUGUUCAGAAUUCAAAUGACAGAGUUUUAGAGAAGAGAAAUAAGUGUUUCAUUUUUUCUCCCCAGGGAAAGGAUAGAGGAGUAGAAACGAUUCCCACAGGAGACAACACUAAGCUAUCUCCCAGCAGAGGGGGCGUGCUGGCCCCAGGAUGCUCCCCAAAGGCAGGAUGUGCUUGUCAGGUCUGGGUGAUGAUGGUGGAAAUGAUUCUCCCUCUAAAGUACUUUGGACUUGAGUUUGAUAAGGUGAGCCUAUGGCAGAGAGGGUGCUGACAAAAUAACCUUCUGGUCCUGCAAAGAAUCAAGCCUGAAUGACACGUGGUACGUCCACAAGGGACAGUACCAGUCUUCUCUGCAGAUACCCACCCCAUCAACGUUCCUGAAGUUCUUUCCAAGUUCUCAACCUACAGGUUCCUGGGAGAGCCACAGACCAGACCUUCUUUCUCUGAAAAAGCUCUCAUGUAAUUCCCACCACGACUCAGUGCUUCAGGUUCGAGUCUGCAGUUUUGCAGGCUCAGAAGGGACUCAGCAGCUUCCCAGGGACAGUCGCUUUGUCCAAGCUAACAACUAACGUGUAAAGCGGAACAGGUGAAAGGGAAAACGUCUUUUUCAUGUUCUCUGUCAGUGGUUCGGGCACUCCUUUCCUUGUGCCUGGAUCAGAGCGGUAACCUCUUAGCUUUCCGUUCAGACUCCAUUCCUUCUCCAGUACUUAUGUACUACUAUGAUCAAAUGUUCUAAAACAUGGUUUCAUCAGAUACCACCUUAGCGUAAGAGCAUGUGCUGUCUUCCUGCUGUCAUCUUUUCUCCCCUCACUCAUCCUAUACAACCGGUCGUACUGGUUAUUUCUCCAAUAAGCCACCCUUCCCUUUUUCUGUGAUGGCUCAUCGGACUGCUCCCAUCCCCCACAGGUAGUGCGCAUGGUGCUGGAGCUCAGCAAAGGCCUGUGGAGUUAAACAAUAAAUUAAACAAUUGCUCCCUCCUCCAUGGCUCUCAUUACUUUUUCCUGUAACUCUUCUGUUUCAACUAAGUUAGUCUCCUUACCACAUGACUUCCUUCCUUCCUUAGUGCUUUUAUUACUCUAUCAAUCUCUAGGCCGCACCUCCCCCAGAAUUCAACUCAGAGCUGACUUUGUCCAGAAAGCUAUGCUUAAUUAUAUCCUCCCUUUUUCAGUUUUAAUCAGCACCCCCUGGGUAUCUGUGGGCUUCAUUUGGUCAGAACAAUUAUACUUGUUAUUUGGUUCCCCCUGAAGGGUUUUAUUCUCUUUCUAUGAGUUUUUGAAACAUGGCCGGAUGUAGUGGAAAGGCUGGGGUUUGAAUCGUGACUUGGAAAUGUCAGCUGUGUUACUUUGGGCAAAGCAGGGAUAGUGCAACCUAAUUCAGUUAUAGUGAGGCAUAAGAAGUGAGAUGAUUAUCCAUGGAUCACAUGAAGUAGUUUCAACAAAUGGUAUUUUAUUCUAUACUCUGAUCAACAAGAUUAUUUGCUUUUACAGGACAAGAAUGUACUUUCCUUUUUAACACCCCCCCCACCCCGUCACCUCCUUUGGUGAUUACUUCCUCCCCAGCACUAACAUACAUAAGACCACCAACACUUGGCAUGGUGUUCCUCACAAGUACAAUACACCCAAAUGUGCUAAACCUGGGAAACGGGGAGGAGACUUCUCACUUCUCAGAUGUUGAAGAGCAGCUCCCAUGUUGACUGGCGAGCACAUGGGACAUUGAAUGAGCUAGGUCCCACUGAGGGUAUGAAAUAAAAAGGUUACCAGAGUGAGGGUGCAGCUAGCUGGCAGUGUGUGGUUAAGACAACCAGGAAGGCCUGGUUCACUGCAGCCUACACAGCAGUCAGCACUCACAUUCAGUUUUUGGACUUACCCUGCCCCCUUGUGGUCACAAGCAGUUAGAUUCCUCACUAAGCUCCCCCACCUCUACCCCCCCUCCCCGCUCCGCACCACUCCUCCGCCCACCACUCCCCAACCCUCGCCACCCUUCCUCCUGCCGGCCCUUGCCUCCAAUUUUAUACUUUCUGGGAGAUUUCCACAACCUUAUCUUUAAACAUUUAAACUUAAAAAAAUCAUUAUUUUAAAUUUCCAUCAGGAAACAAGAUUUCUUGUUCUUGGUUUACUAUAGCUUCUUUUAAAAAAAUUACUUAUUUUUAGAGAGAGGGGAAAGGAAGGAGAAAGGGAGAGAAACAUCGAUUGGUUGCCUCUCGCACAUCCUAACCAGGGACCAGGCCCACAACCCAGGCAGGUGUCCUGACGGGGAAUCAAACCCAACGACAUCUUGGUUGGGGGAUGGCGCCCAACCAACUGAGCCGCACCAGUCAGGACUAUAGGUUCCUUUUCAUAAAAAUCUUUUAAAAUUAAAUUUAUUGAGGUGACAUUGGUUAAUAAAAUUAUAUAGCUUUCAAGUGUACAAUUCUAUAAUACAUCAUUUGUGUGCUUCAUUGUGUGCUCACCACCCGAAGCCGAAUCUCCUUCUGUCAUCAUGUAUUCGACUCCCUUCACCCUUUUCUACCUUCCCUCCUCCUCCCUUUGGUAACCACCACACUGUUGUCUGUGUCUACGAGUUUUUGUUUGUUGGCAUUAUUUGUUCAUUUGUUGCUUUCAGUUUUAUAUAUCACAUAUGAGUGAAAUCAUGGUUCUUUACUUUUUCUCUCUGACUUAUUUUGCAGAGCAAGAGCUCUUUUUGAGCUUUUCUGAAAGGGCUACACUAAUGAGAAAAACUAAGAGCCUGAUCAUUGAAAAUGAGGUAAUGCCUAAAGCGGUCCUUCUCAGAAGUCAGCCUAAAAUCAGGGUUACAAAAUGGAAAUGUGUAAAUUUUUAAUGGGAGAAUUUAAUGUUUUAACACACGCCUAUGCACAUAUAAUGGCUGUAUUUUUCUCUUGACAUAGAAUAUCUGAGGAAGAGGUCUAGGAAAAUGGGGCUCCUGGCCAGUCCUGCACACCCUCUACAGUCCGACAGAGGCCCUGGCCUGUUAUAUUGGCUAGCCCUGUUUUUUUUUUUUUCCAAACGAUCCUCAUAUAGCCUAUUCUUGGGCAUCGUGGAUGGGCUUCAGGGGUUCUUAGAACCACCUGAAAUGGUAUACAAUUUCAUCUGUAUGUGUAUAGAUAUAUUUUGUUGGGAUGGUGGAAGGGGAUAAGUUCUUAGCUUUUAUUGGAUUCUCAAAAUAGCUCUGUAACCUCAGAAACUGUGAAAUGAUGGUAUCUUAGCCUCCCUGGGUCAGUUCAUAGUCAGUGUUGUCUACUCUCGGAAUAUAGGAGUAGCUCUCAGAUGUUAUCAACCAGGUUAGGUGAUCGUAGCAGACAGAGCUUGCUCAGGAACAGCUCUGCAGAGCCACUUAACCACAGUCCUUAAAUCAACAGUGGCAUGAGGAUCGUUUCCAACAGUUCACAACACUGGGGGCAGACCAGCUCGCCUUUCCUUUGCCUCAUUCGUGGAGGUGAUUCUCGGACUCUGGGAACAAGGAGGAGGCAGGGACAGUGGUGGUUAUGGCAGUGUGGACUCUGCCGAGAAGUAAGUACAGGGCUCCCGAGCGGUGACCAUCUUCCAGGGCCUUAGUCUACAAGAGGGGUUAAGACAUCACCAGAACGGUAUAAAAUAGAGAAAAUGAAUUUCCUAGAACUCAAAGAGAAUACUGUUUUCACUCAUUCACUGAUUCUUGCACUUAAUCAUUCAAAUAAUUAUUUGUGUAGUGCCUUCUAUGAGCCGAGCAUUGAUUGGUGUCAACAAUGAAAGUGGCAAAUUCUUUGCUUUCAUGGCUUACAUUCCAGUGAGAGAACAGACAAUAAACAAACAAACAAACAAAACAGAAGAUAAUUGCAGAUAAUGAUAGAUACCAUGAAGAAAAAUAAAGCAGAAUGAGGGCGUGUGUGUAUAUGUAUGUAGGGAUAAGUGGGCCUAGAUAGUGGUGAUGUUUUUAUAUGUGACAUGAAAUGGUACUAUAUUAAUUCUAAGUAGGCUGAAAAAAGUUAAAAACUGUAUUUUAAUCCCUACUUAUGUGAAGUAUUGUAAUCCUGAGUAAAAUUCAACAUUUUAUGCAAAGUAGAACUAUUUGACUCUAAGUAGACUGAAAAGUUAAGAAUAUAUAACAUAAUCCCUAGAGAAGCCAUUAAAAAGUAAUGCCAGGAAAUAUAGCUAAAUGACAACAGGUAAAUUAAAAUAGAAUUCCAAAAAUAUUUCAUCACCUGAAAGAAAGCAGGGAAAAUAUGAACAAAAACCAGAGAAGAUAAACAAAAAAUAAAAUGGUAGACCUAAAUUCAACCAUAUCAAUAGUUAUGAUAAAUGUGAAUGGACUAUACACUCCAAAAAAAGAGAAGAGAUUAACAGAAUAGAUAAAAAGCAGACUCAAUUAUAUGCUGUCUAUGAGAGAUAAACUUUGAGUAUAAAGAUCAAAUGGGUUAAAAAUAAA